rnacentral:rRNA from 1 species
GACGAACGCUGGCGGCGUGCCUAACACAUGCAAGUCGAACGGAGAUACGAUUUCGGUUGUAUCUUAGUGGCGAACGGGUGAGUAACGCGUGAACAACCUGACUCUUAGAGGGGGAUAACACUCGGAAACGGGUGCUAAUACCGCAUAAGACCACGACCCGGCAUCGGGAUGAGGUCAAAGGAGCAAUCCGCUGAGAGAGGGGUUCGCGUCCCAUUAGAUAGAUGGCGGGGUAACGGCCCACCAUGUCAACGAUGGGUAGCCGAGCUGAGAGGCUGAUCGGCCACACUGGAACUGAGACACGGUCCAGACUCCUACGGGAGGCAGCAGUGGGGAAUAUUGGGCAAUGGGCGUAAGCCUGACCCAGCAACGCCGCGUGAGGGAAGAAGGCUUUCGGGUCGUAAACCUCUGUCCUUGGUGACGAAACAAAUGACGGUAGCCAAGGAGGAAGCCCCGGCUAACUACGUGCCAGCCGCCGCAGUAAAAC